rnacentral:rRNA from 1 species
UUGAGGGGGAUACCAGUUGGAAACGACUGUUAAUACCGCAUAAUAUCUGUGGAUUAAAGGUGGCUUUCGGGCUGUCGCAGAUGGAUGAGCCUGCGUUGGAUUAGCUAGUUGGUGGGGUAAGGGCCCACCAAGGCUACGAUCCAUAGCUGAUUUGAGAGGAUGAUCAGCCACAUUGGGACUGAGACACGGCCCAAACUCCUACGGGAGGCAGCAGUGGGGAAUAUUGGACAAUGGGGGCAACCCUGAUCCAGCAAUGCCAUGUGUGUGAAGAAGGCCCUAGGGUUGUAAAGCACUUUAGUUGGGGAGGAAAGCCUCAAGGUUAAUAGCCUUGGGGAGGACGUUACCCAAAGAAUAAGCACCGGCUAACUCCGUGCCAGCAGCCGCGGUAAUACGGGGGGUGCAAGCGUUAAUCGGAAUUACUGGGCGUAAAGGGUCUGUAGGUGGUUUGUUAAGUCAGAUGUGAAAGCCCAGGGCUCAACCUUGGAACUGCAUUUGAUACUGGCAAACUAGAGUACGGUAGAGGAAUGGGGAAUUUCUGGUGUAGCGGUGAAAUGCGUAGAGAUCAGAAGGAACACCAAUGGCGAAGGCAACAUUCUGGACCGAUACUGACACUGAGGGACGAAAGCGUGGGGAUCAAACAGGAUUAGAUACCCUGGUAGUCCACGCUAUAAACGAUGAGUACUAGCUGUUGGAGUCGGUGUAAAGGCUCUAGUGGCGCAGCUAACGCGAUAAGUACUCCGCCUGGGGACUACGGCCGCAAGGCUAAAACUCAAAGGAAUUGACGGGGACCCGCACAAGCGGUGGAGCAUGUGGUUUAAUUCGAUGCAACGCGAAGAACCUUACCUGGUCUUGACAUCCUGCGAACUUUCUAGAGAUAGAUUGGUGCCUUCGGGAACGCAGUGACAGGUGCUGCACGGCUGUCGUCAGCUCGUGUUGUGAAAUGUUGGGUUAAGUCCCGCAACGAGCGCAACCCCUAUUGAUAGUUACCAUCAUUAAGUUGGGUACUCUAUUGAGACUGCCGCUGACAAGGCGGAGGAAGGUGGGGACGACGUCAAGUCACCAUGGCCCUUACGACCAGGGCUACACACGUGCUACAAUGGGUAUUACAGAGGGCUGCGAAGGUGCGAGCUGGAGCGAAACUCAAAAAGGUACUCUUAGUCCAAG